rnacentral:rRNA from 1 species
GUGGGGAAUAUUGGACAAUGGGCGAAAGCCUGAUCCAGCCAUGCCGCGUGUGUGAAGAAGGUCUUCGGAUUGUAAAGCACUUUAAGUUGGGAGGAAGGGCAGUAAGUUAAUACCUUGCUGUUUUGACGUUACCGACAGAAUAAGCACCGGCUAACUUCGUGCCAGCAGCCGCGGUAAUACGAAGGGUGCAAGCGUUAAUCGGAAUUACUGGGCGUAAAGCGCGCGUAGGUGGUUUUGUAAGUUGGAGGUGAAAUCCCCGGGCUCAACCUGGGAACUGCCUCCAAAACUGCAUGACUAGAGUACGGUAGAGGGUAGUGGAAUUUCCUGUGUAGCGGUGAAAUGCGUAGAUAUAGGAAGGAACACCAGUGGCGAAGGCGACUACCUGGACUGAUACUGUCACUGAGGUGCGAAAGCGUGGGGAGCAAACAGGAUUAGAAACCCCUGUAGUCC